GCCGCCUUAGCUCAGUUGGUAGAGCAACUGUUUUGUAAACAGUCGGUCCUCGGUUCAAGUCCGAGAGGCGGCU
rnacentral:tRNA from 1 species